ensembl:lncRNA
GGCAGCAAUAGCAGCAGGAGCUGUGUUGUCGAGCCAAAACUCUGGGAGAGGCCGCUCUGGAAUGCUGGGGCAUGUGAACACAGAUGGAAUUAACUCCAUUUGACUGGGACCCAGCCUAGACAGUCAUGUGAUGCUCCGGAACCGCCUCUCCCUUCCUUACUAGUCCCGGAUCUGGUCCCCUCUGCCUUGGGCCCCCUCCGCCUUGGGCAGCCAAAGCACCCGUAUGAGGACAACAUGGGACUUGUCUGCACAGAUCCUGGUCACACCACUGAAAUCCUCCUCGCCCCUCCCUUGCCCUCGCCCCUCCUCCCUCCGUGCUCUGGAGGGGAAAGACCGGUGCUAGACUCCCGGCUAGGUGGCAACCGACCAAAUCCGGGUCCUGUGAUCUGCAUAAUAGAACCCUGGACGGGACAGGGAUGUGGGUGGUGGCUGGGGAUGGAGCUGGGGAGGAGCGGGGGAGAGACGAAGGGAAGGAGGCUGGAGGGGAGGGAAGGAGGCCGAGAAAAUUGGUUACCCAAAGUCAAAAAUAGCCCCAGUGACUCAGAAAUGGAGCAGUUUGGAAUCACAAUGAUUUCUGGGGAGAGGGCAAGGAGCGGCUGCUGGGCGCACAUCAGAGACAGAGAACUGGAAAUGUUUCACUGCAGAAUAAACAUAUGGGCUGUAAAUCCUGUGAUUCAGAAGAUUCAGCUGCAAUAUUCCCUUCUGCUGUUGCUAUUGGUAACCAGGCUCUGCAAAAACACCAUUUCCCCUGGAAUGCAAGGAGACCUGGAGCUCAGCAAGGGCAUUCCAAUUAACCCCUUCCUGCUGCAGUAAACCGGGGCUGGCUCUUCUGAUUCAGCAAGGACCAAAGAGCCGCGCUGGGAGGGGACCCAUCUUCCCAGCCCGACACAGCACAAAACAGCCCAUAAAUAACACGUCUGCUAGGUGCACAAAGAAACAUCCCGGAGCCCUCUCCCACAGGCGUGCACGAACACACAGGCAUUCCCCGCUCGUGUUACAUGCCUACACACGCAGGCUCUUUAACACAUUCUGCAUACACACACGUCGGAUAUCAGAGCUUCGGGGAGACAGGCUUCUGGGUGUCCAUGAUGCCGACAUCCGCGUGCUCCUGAUACAGCGAAAGCACAGCUCAAAGAGCCACCCCGACCGAAGUGAUUUCUCCUGCCGAGCUCCCAUCGCCUAUUUUUCUCUCUAUGUAUUUUAUUUGGCAUUUCUCAGAUGCCUCCCAGUGCAUCGAUUACCAUUCUCUGUAUCUCCGCUCAACUAGACUAAGUUCCUUAACGCAGGUCAGAGGGAAGGAAGAGAUACUUCUUUGUCCUUUCCCCAAUGUCUAGCACCUAAUAGGAGUCCAAGAUAUUUGUUGAUUGAGGGACAUUUACACAUUCACAUUCUAAUUCACUAUAUAUAUAUAUAUAUAUAUAUAUACACACACUCACUCUCGCCACACACACACACACACACACACACACACACACACACACACACACACGGGUUAUUCAAUCAUUUUUUUGGUCAUUUUGGACUCUCUAUGACCCCAUUUGGGACUUUCUUGGCAAAGAUACUGGGGAUGGUUUGCCAUUUCCUUCUCCAGACCAUUUUACAGAUGAGGAAACUGAGGCAAACAGGGUUAAGUGCCUUGCCCAGGGUUACAUAGCUAGUAAGUGUCUGAGGCUGGAUUUGAACUCAGGAAGAUGAAUCACUCCAGGCCUGGCAUUCUAUUUACUGCAUCACCUAGCUGAUAUAUCUAUAUAUUGAUAUAUAAUUUAUUCAUAUUAUAUGAAUGUUGGGUUGUAUAUUAUACUAUUUAUAUCUU